rnacentral:piRNA from 2 species
UCAACCAAUUAGACUGAAAGCCCUGGC